UCGCCUGUUUAUCAAAAACAUAGCUUCUUGAAAUUAUAAGAAGUGAAGCCUGCCCAGUGAAUUUUAAACGGCCGCGGUAUCUUGACCGUGCAAAGGUAGCAUAAUAAUUUGUCUUUUAAUUGAAGACUAGAAUGAAUGGCAUUUCAUUUUCUAUCUGUCUCCCUAUAUUCUCAUUUAAAUUCUUAUUUCCGUGAAGAAACGGAAAUAAAAAAGCAAGACGAAAAGACCCUGUCGAGCUUUAGUUAAAAAGAAUUAUAAAAAAGAUUUUUCUUUUUAAAACUUCUCUUUUAAACUUUGGUUGGGGUAACCAUGGAGGAUAUAUUCUCCAGAAAAAAAGAUGAACUCUAUUCUCUUUAUAAUAUUAUGAACCAAAAAUUUUGGUAAACGGAAACAGUUACCGCAGGGAUAACAGCGUAAUCUUCUUUAAGAGCCCUUAUUGACAAGAAGGUUUGCGACCUCGAUGUUGGAUUGGGGCAUCCAAAAAGUGCAGCCGCUUUUAAAGGUUGGAUUGUUCAUCCAUUAAAGCCCUACGUGAUCUGAGUUCAGACCGGA
rnacentral:rRNA from 1 species